UACGGAGGGGGCUAGCGUUGUUCGGAAUUACUGGGCGUAAAGCGCGCGUAGGCGGACCUGCAAGUCGGGGGUGAAAGCCCGAGGCUCAACCUCGGAACUGCCUUCGAUACUGCGGGUCUCGAGUCCGGGAGAGGUGAGUGGAAUUCCUAGUGUAGAGGUGAAAUUCGUAGAUAUUAGGAAGAACACCAGUGGCGAAGGCGGCUCACUGGGCCGGUACUGACGCUGAGGCGCGAAAGCGUGGGGAGCGAACAGG
rnacentral:rRNA from 1 species